CAAAACCGCGUAGAAGAGACUGGCCCUUGCGGCCGGCGCCGACGGAGCAACCGCCCCGGAAACUCUCAGGCAACAGGACUGCGCGCGUCUA
rnacentral:ncRNA from 2 species